CGAACGCUGGCGGCGUGCUUAACACAUGCAAGUCGAACGAUGAACCAGGAGCUUGCUCUUGGGAAUUAGUGGCGAACGGGUGAGUAACACGUGAGUAACCUGCCCUUGACUCUGGGAUAACCUCCGGAAACGGAAGCUAAUACCGGAUACGAACUGCGGAGGCAUCUCCAGCAGUUGGAAAGAACUUCGGUCAAGGAUGGACUCGCGGCCUAUCAGGUAGUUGGUGAGGUAAAGGCUCACCAAGCCUACGACGGGUAGCCGGCCUGAGAGGGGACCGGCCACACUGGGACUGAGACACGGCCCAGACUCCUACGGGAGGCAGCAGUGGGGAAUAUUGCACAAUGGGCGAAAGCCUGAUGCAGCAACGCCGCGUGAGGGAUGACGGCCUUCGGGUUGUAAACCUCUUUUAGUAGGGAAGAAGCGAAAGUGACGGUACCUGCAG
rnacentral:rRNA from 2 species